rnacentral:ribozyme from 1 species
CCUUCGAAUGUCUCCCCAUACAUUUCAAUUUGUUAUUACAUUUAUAUUUUUGGUCAUUGCGAUAUUUUUUGGAAUUACCAUCGGUUUGAUAACAACGUCCAGGAAGAGCUCAAGUGUCU